UACGGGGGGGGUAAGCGUUGUUCGGAAUUACUGGGCGUAAAGGGCUCGUAGGCGGCCAACUAAGUCAUACGUGAAAUCCCUCAGCUUAACUGGGGAACUGCGCGGGAAACUGUGGGGCUAGAGUUCAGGAGAGGGAAGCGGAAUUCCGGGUGUAGCGGUGAAAUGCGUAGAUAUCCGGAGGAACACCGGUGGCGAAGGCGGCUUCCUGGACUGACACUGACGCUGAGGCGCGAAAGCUAGGGGAGCAAACGGG
rnacentral:rRNA from 1 species